UCCUGAGUAAGUCGGGACACGUGUAAUCCUGACCGAAUCCGCCGGGACCAUCCGGCAAGGCUAAAUACUCCUGAGAGACCGAUAGUGAACCAGUACCGUGAGGGAAAGGUGAAAAGCACUUCGAACAGAAGAGUGAAAUAGUCCCUGAACCCAUACGCCUACAAGCUGUCGGAGCCGCUUCGUGCGGUGACGGCGUGCCUUUUGCAUAAUGAGCCUACGAGUUACUCAUCACCAGCGAGGUUAAGUACUUCAGGUACGUAAGCCGAAGCGAAAGCGAGUCUGAAUAGGGCGUCAAGUUGGUGGUGGUAGACGCGAAACCUUAGUGAUCUACCCAUGGGCAGGGUGAAGGUUUGGUAACACAAACUGGAGGCCCGAACCGGUAAACGUUGAAAAGUUUUCGGAUGACCUGUGGGUAGGGGUGAAAGGCCAAUCAAACUGGGAAAUAGCUCGUACUCUCCGAAAUGCAUUUAGGUGCAGCCUCUGUUGUUUUGUUCUAGAGGUAGAGCUACUGAUUGGAUGCGAGGGCUUCACCGCCUAUCAAAUCCGGCCAAACUCCGAAUGCUAGAACAUGAAGACAGGGAGUGAGCCAGCGGGUGCUAAGGUCCGUUGACGAAAGAGGGAGAACUCAGACCAUCAGCUAAGGUCCCCAAUUCGAAGCUAUGGGAUUGUAGAUGAUACAAUCGGUAGGAGAGCAUUCCAUUCAGCAUAGAAGCAGUAUCGUGAGGUAUUGUGGAGCGGAUGGAAAAGCAAAUGUAGGCAUAAGUAACGAUAAUGCGGGUGAGAACCCCGCACGCCGAAAGAUCAAGGAUUCCCCGGCAAUGUCAAUCAUCCGGGGGUAAGUCGGAUCCUAAGGGUAAGCCGAGUGGCGAUCCCGAUGGCAAACAGGUUAAUAUUCCUGUACUGAUCAUAACUGCGAUGCAGCGACGCAGAGGUGACACUGCUGCGUACUGACGGAAUAGUACGUUGAAACCCGUAUUCUUUGAUACCGGUAGUGAAGCACGCCGGUAGAGAUGAAAGGUGAUAGUACCGCAAUGCUUCGGUUGCGCGGAUAACGCAGGUAAGCUGACUGCCAAGAAAACCUGCUAAGCUUCAGGUAAUGAUCAUCCGUACUGUAAACGGACACACGUGAUCAGGUAGAAAAUACUAAGGCGCUCGAGAGAUUCAUGGUUAAGGAACUAGGCAAAAUGGUCCUGUAACUUCGGGAUAAAGGACGCUCUUGUGAAAGAGCCGCAGAUAAUAGGCCCAGGCGACUGUUUACCAAAAACACAUGGCUAUGCUAAUUCGCAAGAAGAUGUAUAUGGCCUGACACCUGCCCGGUGCCGGAAGGUUAAGAGGAGAGCUCAGAGGCAACUCGAAGGUUUGAAUUGAAGCCCCGGUAAACGGCGGCCGUAACUAUAACGGUCCUAAGGUAGCGAAAUUCCUUGUCGGGUAAGUUCCGACCUGCACGAAUGGAGCUUUGCAUUGAUUUUGGGUAACAGAUGUGUAGGAUAGGUCGGAGGCUUUGAUGCUGCGUCGUCAGGCGUAGAGUAGCCGUCGUUGAAAUACGACCCUUUUGUUAUCUGAGGUCUAAUCCCGUUAGGGAGACAUUGCAUGGUGGGUAGUUUGACUGGGGUGGUCGCCUCCAAAAGUGUAACGGAGGCUUCUCAAGGUACCCUCAAGGCGUUUGGUAAUCGUCUGCAGAGUGCAAUGGCAUAAGGGUGCUUGACUGUGAGACCGACACGUCGAUCAGGUUGGAAACAAGAGCAUAGUGAUCCGGUGGUUCCGCAUGGAAGGGCCAUCGCUCAAAGGAUAAAAGGUACUCCGGGGAUAACAGGCUGAUCGCUCCCAAGAGCUCAUAU
rnacentral:rRNA from 1 species